rnacentral:rRNA from 1 species
UUAAACUUGAGAGUUUGAUCAUGGCUCAGAACGUACGCUGGCGGCACGCCUAACACAUGCAAGUCGAGCGGGGUAGCAAUACCUAGCGGCAGACGGGUGCGUAACAUGUGGGAAUCUGCCUUUUGGUUCGGAACAACAUGGGGAAACCUGUGCUAAUACCGGAUAAGUCCUAACGGAGAAAGUUUUAAUGCCAAAAGAUGAGCCCGCAUUUGAUUAGCUUGUUGGUGAGGUAAAAGCUCACCAAGGCUAUAAUCAAUAGCUGAUUUGAGAGGAUGAUCAGCCACACUGGGACUGAGAUACGGCCCAGACUCCUACGGGAGGCAGCAGUGGGGAAUCUUGCACAAUGGGCGAAAGCCUGAUGCAGCGAUGCC